GGAGAUGUGGCCGAGUGGUCGAAGGCGCACGCUUGGAAAGCUUGUAUACCUCUAAAGGGUAUCGGGGGUUCGAAUCCCUUCGUCUCCG
rnacentral:tRNA from 1 species